rnacentral:rRNA from 1 species
UACGGAGGGUGCAAGCGUUAUCCGGAUUCCCUGGGUUUAAAGGGUGCGUAGGCGGGCAGGUAAGUCAGUGGUGAAAUCUCCGAGCUUAACUCGGAAACUGCCGUUGAUACUAUCUGUCUUGAAUAUUGUGGAGGUAAGCGGAAUAUGUCAUGUAGCGGUGAAAUGCUUAGAUAUGACAUAGAACACCUAUUGCGAAGGCAGCUUACUACGCAAUCAUUGACGCUGAGGCACGAAAGCGUGAGGAUCAAACAGG